AAGAUUGCUCGAUGGAGGGAACUAUGACGCAGCGAGGCCGUGUGAGCGAGGAAUGUAUUCGGAAGGGAAAGCGCUGUCCUUGGGGAAGAAACGUACGGUACCUAAGGGGGAAGCACUGGCCAACUACGUGCCAGCAGCCGCGGUAAUACGUAGGGGGCGAGCGUUAGCCGGAAUUAUUGGGCGUAAAGCGUGCGUAGGCGGCCUUUUAAGUCAGAUGUGAAAGGCUACGGCUUAACCGUAGUAAGCAUUUGAAACUAAAAGGCUUGAGUGCCGGAGAAGAGAGUUGAAUUCCUAGUGUAGCGGUGAAAUGCGUAAGUAUUAGGAGGAACACCAGUGGCGAAGGCGACUCUCUGGACUGCAACUGACGCUGGGGCACGAAAGCGUGGGGAGCGAACA
rnacentral:rRNA from 1 species